UUGAACGCUGGCGGUAUGCUUAACACAUGCAAGUCGAACGGAAACGAUACUAGCUUGCUAGUAGGCGUCGAGUGGCGGACGGGUGAGUAACGCGUAGGAAUCUGCCUGAUAGUGGGGGAUAGCCCGAAGAAAUUCGGAUUAAUACCGCAUAAUCUAUUCGUAGUAAAGUGGGGGACUUUCGAGCCUCACGCUAUCAGAUGAGCCUGCGUAAGAUUAGCUUGUUGGUAGGGUAAAAGCCUACCAAGGCGACGAUCUUUAGCUGGUCUGAGAGGAUGAUCAGCCACAUCGGGACUGAGACACGGCCCGAACUCCUACGGGAGGCAGCAGUGGGGAAUAUUGGACAAUGGGGGCAACCCUGAUCCAGCAAUACCGCGUGUGUGAAGAAGGCCUGAGGGUUGUAAAGCACUUUCAAUUGUGAAGAAAAGUUAGCGGUUAAUAACCGUUAGCCUUGACGUUAACUUUAGAAGAAGCACCGGCUAACUCCGUGCCAGCAGCCGCGGUAAUACGGAGGGUGCAAGCGUUAAUCGGAAUUACUGGGCGUAAAGCGUGCGUAGGCGGUUUAUUAAGUCAGAUGUGAAAGCCCCGGGCUUAACCUGGGAACUGCAUUUGAAACUGGUCGACUAGAGUAUGGUAGAGGAAAGUGGAAUUUCUGGUGUAGCGGUGAAAUGCGUAGAUAUCAGAAGGAACAUCAAUGGCGAAGGCAGCUUUCUGGACCAAUACUGACGCUGAGGUACGAAAGCGUGGGUAGCAAACAGGAUUAGAUACCCUGGUAGUCCACGCCGUAAACGAUGAUAACUAGCCGUUGGGGGGAUUUACCCUUUAGUGGCGAAGCUAACGCGUUAAGUUAUCCGCCUGGGGAGUACGGCCGCAAGGUUAAAACUCAAAGGAAUUGACGGGGACCCGCACAAGCGGUGGAGCAUGUGGUUUAAUUCGAUGCAACGCGAAGAACCUUACCUGGUCUUGACAUCCUGCGAACUUUCUAGAAAUAGAUUGGUGCCUUCGGGAACGCAGUGACAGGUGCUGCAUGGCUGUCGUCAGCUCGUGUCGUGAGAUGUUGGGUUAAGUCCCGUAACGAGCGCAACCCCUAUCCUUAUUUGCCAGCACGUCAUGGUGGGAACUAUAAGGAGACUGCCGGUGAUAAACCGGAGGAAGGCGGGGACGACGUCAAGUCAUCAUGGCCCUUACGACCAGGGCUACACACGUGCUACAAUGGGAAGGACAAAGAGCCGCGAAGCCGCGAGGUGUAGCUAAUCUCAUAAACCUUUUCGUAGUCCGGAUUGGAGUCUGCAACUCGACUCCAUGAAGUCGGAAUCGCUAGUAAUCGUAGAUCAGAAUGCUACGGUGAAUACGUUCCCGGGUCUUGUACACACCGCCCGUCA
rnacentral:rRNA from 1 species